rnacentral:lncRNA from 1 species
GGGGUCAUCAGUAAGGCACUCAAUCACCUUAAUAUCCUGUGACACCCCUUAUAAGGCUGCUGUUAUGUUCUGGUGGUUGUCAGGAAUAAAUGUACAACAUUGCGUCUCUACAAGGGCACAGCUGCCACAUUGGGCAGCUCUGACCAUGUCUAAGGCCAUCCGGUUUUGCAGAACCAACUUCCUGAUCUGAUUGACUUCAUCAGUUAACAAAAAGGAGAGCAACUCGGGUGUAAUUCAGGGCCCAAACUGUGUGCUCUGCAAGGGCUGUAACUUGCAUUUCUACAGUAGCGACACCUGCUCUAGGGAUAGUUAUCGCUUAGGGGUAGAGUCACUAGGGGGCUUGCUGAACUCGUAAAAACCAGGAACAUAGCACCUUCCAGUUAGGUGGAUGACUAGGCAAUGUGGGAAACACAGUGGCAGGCACAGAAAGCCACCCCCAGGUACAACGUCCAGUCCAAUUGGCUGGUAGAUAUGGCCAUCCUGUGUCCCCACAGACCCAUAAACUCCCUGGGGGCAUAAAGUCCAUGAAGGUCCAGCCUUGGUAAGGCAACUUAUUCCACCACACCCUUGGUUUCGCGGCAUGUGUUAUGUUUGCACAAACCUCAGCAAUAAUCCCUCAGUGACUUUACCCCAGUGCUCCCCUAUACAUCAUGGUACCUGCAAUGGGGGCACCACAUGUUUUCCCGUUAGCCAGCCCCAUCCAUCAUGGACACUAUAAGUCAGCCAGUGGCAGGCUUGCCAUGGGUUUUGGGACGUCCCCCUAUCCAAAGCCCACCAUUGCAUUGUCUAUUGAACACCAAGUCUCUAGCCAUGUCCAGUUCUGCACAGAAGCUGGAUGCACGUUCCAGGGCAAGCUGCCUGCAGCUGCUGCUGAAAGGGUGGUGCAGAUACAACAGUUGAAGACAUUGGUCACCUCAGUGUAGGUGUGGGCCCAGAACAUGAUGCUGUUGGAGCAUGCCACCUAUGGCUGGAAUGACAAAGCAAGCACAGGUACUAACAGGGGUAAAUCAUGUCCCUCAGGCAAAAUACAGGCCAACUUUUCACCUCUCGAUAACAGUGCAGCCACCAAGGGCAUUUGCCCUGGGUGAUGAUACCACACCUUAUCAGCUCCCUGUGGUCCUUUUGGGUGCUGUACCCAUGCCAAACACACAGGGGAGCUUAUGCUAAGCCACACAGACAGUACACAUGCCCUCUGGAGGAGAGUCUCUUCCCUGGCCGUUCCCCUAUGCAUGGUUAAUUGUGGAGGCCACACAUUAAAUACCCAAGGAGUAACAUGUAAGUUAUACUGCAGCCCCUCCCCCCAGGGGGCUAUGAUAGCCAACCAUCUGCAAUGAGGUGCUUGGAGGGUCCAUGGCUAACACCAGGUUUUUCUGUUCCCCUGCCUUUAGGGGUACUGGGGCAGGCAAUAACAGAUUACUGUUCAACCCUGUACCUGGUUGGAGAAGGUUGUUCUUCCUCUCAUAGAUCUGGCCACAUGGCCUGGCCCUACAUGGGUCGAUGACUAACUAGCUAAUUCUGUAACUUCUAGGUAAUUAACCACAAAGUUAAGCCUUGAUAAAUUGCCUAGCUACUAGUACAGAUUACCACAGGUGUCAUCUCCUUGGUGAUCACAGUCCAUAUUGCCUUGAGUUCAACUUAUUAGCUACUUUAUUUACACCUGGUUUUAAACCAUAUUGUGUCAGUACUAGGCUGGACUGUAGCAGCAAUCCAGGCAGCAGCAGUACUCUGGCUAUACCUACCUGUAUACUAUGCCUCAUUAGGAAUGGGAGGAUGCCCUUCCUUAUGGUAAAGGCUCAGGGUCUAGAGGUGCCUCAGACCCCAUGACUUUAUCUUGCAUUAGGACUAUAGGCUUCAAGACCUAUUGUAAUUUUACUCCUAAGAGACCAGUACUCAGUGUACUCUGCUGCUCUAAGUAGGUGCCCCACUUCGCUAAAGUGGAUGUCUGUGCCUUCCCUAUCCAGGGGGUUGUUUCCCAUGAAUGCCCAAUCUCACAAUUACUAACUGCUUCUCUAUCAAGGAAUACUGGGGCUCAGCUCCCUUCCACAGCUGGGAACAAAAGCCUAUUGGCAUACUCAGGUGCUCUAUGCACUGCUAUAGGCCCUAACUGAAACUCUGUUGUCACAGGCACAUCUAGUUUAAAUGGGCACCUCUGGUCCACUACCCGUAUGGCUUGUGCCUGCUAAAUAGCCCGCUAGGCUACCAGAAAGACUGUCUCAGGAGCAUCAUCCCAAUCCCAGGCAAGAAGAACAUUGCCACUUCUAAAUCUGCAGGAGAAUCAGAGGUUAACAUGACAUCAUUAAUAAAAUAAUGACACGUGGUGGGGCUAUGAAUAUAGCCCUGCAGCAACACUGUGAAAGUCCAUUGUCACCCUCCCAUGAAAGCAAACUGUUCCUGCCUCUCUGGAACAAUGUCGACUGAGAGGAAUGCAUUGGUCAAUUCCACCACAUAGUGGCAUUGUCUCAGUUCUGUUGUCAAGAAGUUCAUCAAAUCCAUGAUAGAAGGUACAGAUACAUGCAGAAGGAGUAUUACUUUAUUCAGUUUCCGAUAAUCCACUGUUAUCUGCCAAAUCCCAUCAGGCUUUCUGACUGGCCAUAAUGGAAAAUGGUAGGGGCUAUGGAUGCCACACACUAUUUGCACCUCCUCUAACUUCUUAAUAGUCUCAGUUACCUCUGUAUUCCCCCCUGGCAAACGGUACUGAUGAGUGGAAGUAACCUGUCAGGGUUGUGGCAGAACUUGGGGCUGGUGAUGUGUAUGUUCACCCAGUACUGGCUUUACUGCAUGGACUCAGAAUCUGGAUUCUCUGGCCGUGGUGUGCAAGCCCAGACCAUGCAAAAUGUCCACCCCCAGAAUAUAUUCAGGUAUAGGAGAAACAUACACAGUGUACAGGUGGGGAGCCAAGCGGCCAAUGCCAAGAUGCAGAGACACAGGCUUCACCUUCACCGACUGGCUCCCAUAACCGUCCAUAAAUGCAGCUUUGCCUAGAAAUUUAUCUGGGUUCCCAUAAACUAGACUGCAGUCUGCACCAGUAUCUAUCAGUGCUAGGACCCGCGGUACAUUAGUGGGGGACCAGUGGAUUGCCAGCUCCACAUAUAGCCUCUGGUUGUCUAGUUCCCCCUGCCAAGCUGGCGACCUCGGCCAGUUCCCUAAUCAAACAAGAAAGGCUCUGUAUCUCUGCCUGUCUGCAAAUAGUCCUUGAGUUGCAGCGUCUGGGAGGGAUUAGGUUGAACAACAUUGUUUUGCCCCCCACACCUUAGGCAUUUUCUGGAAUUGCUGCUCCCGGGACAAUUGCCUUCACAGAGUCAACAACAUUCCAUUGGGUUGCCCGUCAAUUUUCUCCCGAGCAACCCCAGCUGCAAGUAAAUCAAUCCACAUCUGCAUGCAGGUCACCUCCUGGAGCCCCUUUUUAUCUGGUGGGGUGGUUAACUGCGGAUGAGGCAUUUUCUCCCUCCUUACGGUGCGGAUUCUCCGGUCCUGCGAAUGGCCUUCUGCCUCCCUGAGGGCUGCCAGAGCAGUAGUCACUUCAUGUAUGCGGCACCCCACAUACUGGGUGAGAACAGCGGCUAGAAAGCCAUAAGGGUUCGGGGUGCUGAACUCAGCACAAGAUCCCUCAUGUGGGAGGUAAAGCGUUCAUCAUCUGGCCCCAUGGUAAUCAGACCAAACAUAGCCUGCCGCAUACCUAUCUCCAAGAGUAUCUGCACCAAAUUAGUAUGUGAUUGCCAUUUACUCACAGUUUGUAGUAUCUCUCUGGCAUCAUUGAAAACAGUCCAUAUGACUGUCAUUAGCCACUUGAUUAAUGUGUGGCCACCUUGCUCUUGUGCCAACCGUUGGCACAGCUGCAGCUGCUGACGAAGGGAGGGGUGAGUUGUGAUAGAAGUCAGCUUCUCCAUCUCAGAGGCGGAACAAAAAAUGCUAUCAGCUCCCUCAGACGCUGCCGGCACUAUUUACCUAAUUCCCACAACUCACUGGGGUUAUAAGCAUAAUAAGAGGCGUGUUCCACCACUGUGGACGGGGUCCCUGGGCUUUCCCCUAGGGUCCCAUCAGCUGCUUAUGUUCUACCUUCUGACGGAUCACAGGAGGAGCCUGCAGCGGAGGAGCCUCCUCCUCCUCAGCAUCAGACCUAAAGGGAGUGUCCUGCCUGAAGGACCGGCUCAAGGUCGCACUAACAGCUCUUGCUAACUCCUGUUCCAGGCUGUUUAUCUGGGCCUCCAAGUACCCUGCUUGCGCCUGGAGGUCUCUCACCCCCAGGUCCUGCUCAAAGCUGUGCACUUGGGCCCCCAGGCAUGCGGCUUGCUCCGGAAGGUCCCUUACCUGUGGCACUGAGCAUGUACUUCCUGCAGUGCAGUUAGAAAUGCCCAUCCGACUCUGCUUGCAAAGUGCAGAGAGGGAGACACCCUUACAAAUGGAGAUUUGCUGGAUAGAAAUGUGGCCAAAGAGUUCAAUAAAAGGUUCCUUUAUUUAUAGGCACAGCUGCUUAAAGACUGUUACCGGAAAGGAAUCCUGAUCCAGACGCCAAGAGAGGGUUCUUGGACUCAUGCAAGAAAGACUUCAGAAUACGAGUUUUGAAUUUUUGAAUUGCUGUUAAAACUUUCAUCAUGAACACUGAAGUGAGUGAAAAGAGACUUUUGCAGUCAUUUUUUUGCUGGCUGCAGAUGACAGUGACACCCUGGGAGUUGAGAAAUGCUUGUAAGAUGGAAGGAGGCUGUGUCCCUGAAUGAUCACCUGGAAGAGAGCCACCUUAGCCAAUGAAACUCCUGCUAUGAAUGUUUGCUGAGCAAGAAAUAUACUUACUGCUUUAUAUGCCUUUGAAGCUAUAGGUUCAUAUUGUUACCACAAUUUAAAGUGCUAUAAUAAAAAGAGUUCAGGAAGCAGGCACAUGGAAGCAAUAAGAGCAACAAACAUUUACACAGUUCUCAGGUCCCUGGACCAUGAAGGGCCACAUCCAAGGAGCUACCCCAGGAGGCCUCUCAUUUGCAUUUGUCCCCGCUAAUGCAGGACAGAGAUCAUGGAAGUUGGGCCCGACUGGAUGAGAUUUGGGGGUCUUUGGAAGUGGAGAAUGUGUUUGCCCUGGGGAAGAGAGGUGAUGUCUAGGAGACCUCUUCACUCAGGGCAAGCUCUAUGACCUGCUUUGACUCCAGAAUGUGGUAGAAGUGGCAUCACAUAAAUUGCAGAGCCUAGGCUUCAAGAGACCUUGCAACUUGCCUCUCACUGACUUGAAGUGCUCCCAUCAGAGCAUCUUGUAAGGAGCAGGUGGAGCAUGUGGACAAGCCAUCCCCACCAGCCCCUGAGACAUGUGAGAGAGGCCAGAACAGGCCAUCCGGACCCCACUGUGCUGGUGGAUGAGACAGCAGAAGGAAUAUCAACCUACCAACAGAAUCCUGAGAAAUGCUCACUCUUACUUCAAGCUGCUGCAUUUUGAUGUUAUGAAACCAUAAAUAACUUAUGAAGUCAUCUUUGCUGACUUAAAGUUUUCCAUAACUUUAUUAUAACAUAUCAAAAUUAUGAAAAAUGUGAAAAGUAGAAAACUGAUGAAUUUUGCUUCUUCAUAUGGUCUUUAAGAAUCUCAAAGGCACUGAAGUUUUUUAUCUUUUCUGUCUUAGAAUAAAAAACCUUGAAUGAAAAUCUGCUUCUUGGAAAAGCAGCAAGGUUUAUGCAGAGGCAAUCUGGUAUUUGUGUGCACUGGCAGCUGAUCAUACCCAGCAUGCACGCACUCUCAGGGCAGAGUCUGAUGCCCCACAUAAUGGGGCAUGGUAAGGACUCCCAUGUCCUUGAGAUAAAAUGAUAAGGAAAAUACACACUGCUAUUAGAAUAACAGGCCCAGCUUCUGCACAUUUUAAUUCCCAAAGUUUUCAUGAAAGACAAUGAUUUUUUGGUACCAUGUUUAACUCUACAAGAAUCAGUAGUGAAAACUAAAAAUGAUACUUUGUGAAAGUUCAUUAAUUUUGUUUUCAGCCAGUGGUGGCCUUGGUCAGAUAGAAUCAAAUCUAUGAUACUUUUUAUCAGAAAUGCUUAUACUGUGUACAAACCCAAAGUGAUGGCUUUCAAAGAUUGAAUUUGAUUAUUUUCUGUAUGGUGCAGAUGAAAAAUUACUACACAGGAGAAGGUGGGUUGGAGGUGCUCACGAGUAACCAGGAAACAGUCUGAAGUUUUUCUGAUACUUCUCCUUGGUCCAACCAAAUGUGAGAUAUAAACACAAACUUGGGAUUCCGUUCUUAUGUUUUGGUUGUUUCAGUCUUUACAGAUGUAUCGAAAGGCUGUCCAAAAAUGUCUGACUUCUGUAGUGUGCCUUCGUAGCACUAGAGGGUUCUGCAGCUGUGAAACUGAAGGCAUUGGCAAGAAGCCCUCCAUCUUCAAACCACUUUCUGCUAAGGUGUGGCUCUAUAAAACCACUAUGAGCUGGGCUUCACUGAGACUGAGUUGUUUCAGUAGGAUCUUCCGGAAAAACAUGUUCCCUCCUUUACCUGGGUUGUCAUUCUGAGAACAAUCACACCUCCAAUUUUGGCUUACUAAGCAAUAGCGUUUUAAUGAUUUUAAGCCAGGAUUUGCUCCUCCUUUCCUCAGUAUGAGAGCUUAACCACUGGAGGAACCAAGAAUUCAUGCUGGUUGGGUUCUGAUUCCACUUUAACUUACUGUAUAGCCUCAUCCCUUGUUUUUCUGGAGAUUCUCUUUUUCUGCUUCACUGAUUUAUAUUUACAUUAAAAUCAAAUGAGGCCAUGUUUCUGAAAUCACAUUGUCCCUACAUGGUCAUUACAAUGAGUCUGUAAUGUGACUGAAAGACAGCCAUGGAUACAGGUAGAGGAUAUCAGGCAAUUGAAUGCUCAUCAAGCAUUCAAUUCAGGGCAAAUGGCAUAAGGUAUGCAGUUGGCCUCUUCUGAUAUCUGUGUCUUAAUCCUUUCUUUAGCCUCUGUUUUCUGGACCAAGGCUAAGAUAUUUUCUGGGCACAGUGGCUCAUGCCUAUAAUCCCAGCACUCUGGGAGGCCAAGGUGGGAGGAUUUCUUCAGCCC